GAUGAACGCUGGCGGCGUGCCUAAUACAUGCAAGUCGAGCGAACAGACGAGGAGCUUGCUCCUCUGACGUUAGCGGCGGACGGGUGAGUAACACGUGGAUAACCUACCUAUAAGACUGGGAUAACUUCGGGAAACCGGAGCUAAUACCGGAUAAUAUAUUGAACCGCAUGGUUCAAUAGUGAAAGACGGUUUUGCUGUCACUUAUAGAUGGACCCGCGUCGCAUUAGCUAGUUGGUAAGGUAACGGCUUACCAAGGCAACGAUGCGUAGCCGACCUGAGAGGGUGAUCGGCCACACUGGAACUGAGACACGGUCCAGACUCCUACGGGAGGCAGCAGUAGGGAAUCUUCCGCAAUGGGCGAAAGCCUGACGGAGCAACGCCGCGUGAGUGAUGAAGGUCUUCGGAUCGUAAAACUCUGUUAUUAGGGAAGAACAAAUGUGUAAGUAACUAUGCACGUCUUGACGGUACCUAAUCAGAAAGCCACGGCUAACUACGUG
rnacentral:rRNA from 1 species